UGGGGAAUAUUGGGCAAUGGGCGCAAGCCUGACCCAGCAACGCCGCGUGAAGGAAGAAGGCUUUCGGGUUGUAAACUUCUUUUGUCAGGGACGAGUAGAAGACGGUACCUGACGAAUAAGCCACGGCUAACUACGUGCCAGCAGCCGCGGUAAUACGUAGGUGGCAAGCGUUGUCCGGAAUUACUGGGUGUAAAGGGAGAGUAGGCGGGAUUGCAAGUCCGUUGUUAAAUCUAUCGGCUUAACCGGUAGCUGCGGCGGAAACUGUAGUUCUUGAGUGAAGUAGAGGCAGGCGGAAUUCCUAGUGUAGCGGUGAAAUGCGUAGAUAUUAGGAGGAACACCAGUGGCGAAGGCGGCCUGCUGGGCUUUAACUGACGCUGAGGCUCGAAAGUGUGGGGAGCAAACAGGAUUAGAUACCCUGGUAGU
rnacentral:rRNA from 1 species